rnacentral:tRNA from 1 species
GCCUGGGUGGCUCAGUCGGUUAAGCAUCUGAUUUCGGUUCAGAUCAUGAUCUCACGGUUCAUGGGUUCGAGCCCCGUGUUGGGCU